rnacentral:rRNA from 1 species
GACGAACGCUGGCGGCGUGCUUAACACAUGCAAGUCGAACGGUGAACCCGCUUCGGUGGGGGAUCAGUGGCGAACGGGUGAGUAACACGUGGGCAACCUGCCCCCGGCUCUGGGAUAACUCCAAGAAAUUGGGGCUAAUACCGGAUAUGACCGCUGACCGCAUGGUCUGGUGGUGGAACGAUUUAUCGGCUGGGGAUGGGCCCGCGGCCUAUCAGCUUGUUGGUGGGGUAGUGGCCUACCAAGGCGACGACGGGUAGCCGGCCUGAGAGGGUGACCGGCCACACUGGGACUGAGACACGGCCCAGACUCCUACGGGAGGCAGCAGUGGGGAAUAUUGCGCAAUGGGCGGAAGCCUGACGCAGCGACGCCGCGUGGGGGAUGACGGCCUUCGGGUUGUAAACCUCUUUCAGCAGGGACGAAGCCGUGAGGUGACGGUACCUGCAGAAGAAGCACCGGUCAACUACGUGCCAGCCGCCGCUGUAAAAC